rnacentral:lncRNA from 1 species
CAACACAACAUCAUUCUUCUUUACAAACUUUGCGGAGGUAGUAAGUGUCUUUGCAACAGCUACACAUCCGACGAGGUUUUUAUACCGAAGAAACUUGAUAAAUGGGGGGGCAAAGGUUUGACUUUGUGAGAUUCAAAGUAGUACAAAAUUUCACUAGGAGGUUUGAUAAGGUCUGGUGUGGGUGGAAUAAAAUGAUGACCAAUAUCCUAAGAUUCAAUAGAGAUGAUAAGUUUGUAGAAAAGAAGGUUGAAGGGCAAAAACCAAUAUGUGGGAUUAAUGGUGCAACCAAAAGUAUCUUUCAAUGAAGCUCUAAUAGAUAGAAGAAAGGUACAAAGAGGGGUGGCAUCAAGGAGAGAGCCAAUGAGCAUACCUUAAAGAAACCAUCAUCAAAGGCAUUGGAAGGAUUUAAGAGCUAGUAGAGUUGAAGAAGUAGCAUGCAACGCGGUUUGGGAAAAAGACUCGGAUGAAAACUCACUAAAAACCUCCAAUCUUGUUUUGUUGGCUACCUUGAAGAUGCGAAAGAUGUAGUUGGUUUUCAAGCUAGCAUGAAGCUAGAAGGAUACCACUCGAUCCAAGUGAUCCCUAAGGGAGUGGAAAAGGUGAUCUUAAUAAGGCUUAGGUGAGGGGGAGUUAGAGGAGGCGGUGAAAACUCAUAAGGAAUGGUGGGAAAGUUGGUUUCAUCUUACCAAACCUUGGACGACCUAUGUUUUCUCAAAUAAAAUAGAUAUUUGGAUCAGAUGUUUGGGAGUACCUCUUCAUAUUUGGAGAGUGGAGUUCUUCG